AUUGAACGCUGGCGGCAUGCUUUACACAUGCAAGUCGAACGGCAGCGGGGAGGAGCUUGCUUCUCUGCCGGCGAGUGGCGAACGGGUGAGUAAUACAUCGGAACGUGUCGAGAAGAGGGGGAUAACCACCCGAAAGGGUGGCUAAUACCGCAUAAAUUCUGAGGAAGAAAGCUGGGGACCUGGGUAUAGGCCUAGCGCUUGUUGAGCGGCCGAUGUCGGAUUAGCUAGUUGGUGAGGUAGAGGCUCACCAAGGCGAAGAGCUGUAGGGGGUCUGAGAGGAUGAUCCGCCACACGGGCACUGAGACACGGCCCAGACUCCUACGGGAGGCAGCAGUGGGGAAUUUUAGACAAUGGGGGCAACCCUGAUCCAGCCAUGCCGCGUGUAUGAAGAAGGCCUUAGGGUUGUAAAGUACUUUUGUUAGGGAAGAAAAGUCAGCUGUGAAUAAUGGCUGAUACUGACGGUACCUAAAGAAUAAGCACCGGCUAACUACGUG
rnacentral:rRNA from 1 species